ensembl:scaRNA
ACUGGAGGACCAAGAAGGCUGAGUCUGAUGAAGCAAGACUUUGCUGAUACACUCCUCCUACACAAAGGAGUGGAGAAAGCAGCCCUUAUCAGAAAAAAAAAAAAAAAAAAAAAAACAGGGUUAACUAUAAUAUCCAACUUUU